rnacentral:rRNA from 1 species
UACGUAGGUGGCAAGCGUUGUCCGGAUUUAUUGGGCGUAAAGCGCGCGCAGGCGGUUUGUUAAGUCAGAUGUGAAAUCCCCGGGCUCAACCGGGGAGGGUCAUUGGAAACUGGGGAACUUGAGUGCAGAAGAGGAGAGUGGAAUUCCACGUGUAGCGGUGAAAUGCGUAGAGAUGUGGAGGAACACCAGUGGCGAAGGCGACUCUCUGGUCUGUAACUGACGCUGAGGAGCGAAAGCGUGGGGAGCGA